GGUUGGAGCAGUUGAUAAAGCCAUAACCUGUUCAUCUCUGUGGCAUGGGGCUUCAUCCAAGAGUUCAGUUUCACCCUCUAUCAACUCUUCAUUGAAGGAGGGGAUCAAGACUUAUAGCACCGCAGAUGGUUUUCCUGGAGAUAUCAUUAAAAAGAAAGACUUGACCAGGGUAGAGAGUACUGAUAAUAUUCCAUCUUUGUGUGCUUCUGCUAGCUCCGGUGAACCAAUAAUUGAGGACAUUUGUACAACCAGCACUGCUAAUUCAUCAUCUUCAACCAUUGUUUCCACUUCCUGUACUGCUACACCAAAGAGAUCUAGGGCAUCAUAUCCAAGUACAGUCUCCACAAUUCCAGGUAGAAGGAUGCAGCUUUGAUCUCAAGUCAGCUAAAGAUUACCAGCGCAGCAUAGAAUCUGUGAAAAGCAUUCCAAAAGCCCUAAGGUCAUUGUUUCUGCCAAUUUGCCAACAGUGCAGCAGGCAGGUUCUCUCAUGAAUCUUGAUUUUUGGGGAAUUCUUAGUAAUCAUUUUUUCUCUUCGGGAUUAAGCUUUGUUGCUUCCGCUUUAACUUUCCGAUAUUAUCUAGUUUCUACUACUAAGUAAGACUGCUGCUGCAUUUAUGCUGCAAAGUUUGUUUAGGUUCCAUGGAUUGUCGAAGUUUGAUGACAAGAAGUGAAGCUGCCGUAGCUAUCACAAUGCAAGGCGACACGGGCCACAACCUGAGACAAUCUGGUUCAAUUAAGCAAGGCUGUCAUCAUCAUUUUACAGUGUUUGCUUCAAUUUCAAAGAUGGUAGACAGCAGAUGAAUGCUGUAUUGAAUAGGUUGCCUUUCCUGGAAGCAAAUUCAACCUGGCAAAGCAAUUGCAGCUUUAAGUUUACUCACUCUGGAGAUUUCUUUUAUUAGGCCUGCAAAAGCAGGGGGGAUCCGUAGGCCGCUUAGCUGUCCCUCCAAUGAAGUGCCAGAUGCAACUUCAACAAUACAGACUCAAGUAGAUUUCUAUCUUUUGAGAGCAGCACACCAGGGCCUUUAGUCAAGGUGGGAAAAGCCCGACUGAAGAGCAUCCAAACCCUCCAGAUAAGAAUCCUCUUCUAAGCAUAAUCAGCAUCAGCAACAAUACCAUCAGAGAAAUCAAAAUCAUACGGGUCCGGAGCAUCAUUACCAAUUAAUUAGCUGCAAUUGCAGUAUCAUGGGGUUGGGUUAAUACGCAGCAACAAGAAACAGUACCACCUCCUAGAAAUCUGCUUCAGCGAAUAAGGGUUGAGGAGGCAUGGAGUUGGGAGAACUUCUAAAACUUGCAAAGAAGCAACAUGCUAUUCGCAAAUUAUAUUGGUGGAACUCGUUGCAUGAAGCUGAAUCGCGCUGGUCAGCCAUACUUGAAUUUGAGGUUGCUUUCAUUUGUUCAUUGAUGUGUCAUGGGAUUGGUGAAAUGUUGGUUCUUCAUUAAUUUUUCCAAAUUUUUUUAUCUCAAAGACAACGGCAACCUGUUUUUUAUCCAAAUUUAGAUUGGACUUCAAGAACUU